rnacentral:rRNA from 1 species
UACGUAGGGUGCAAGCGUUAAUCGGAAUUACUGGGCGUAAAGCGUGCGCAGGCGGUUCGCUAAGACCGAUGUGAAAUCCCCGGGCUUAACCUGGGAACUGCAUUGGUGACUGGCGGGGCUAGAGUAUGGCAGAGGGGGGGUAGAAUUCCGACGUGUAGCAGUGAAAUGCGUAGAGAUGUGGAGGAAUACCGAUGGCGAAGGCAGCCCCCUGGGCCAAUACUGACGCUCAUGCACGAAAGCGUGGGGAGCAAACAGG